UUAAUAAGCUAUAUUUAGAAAGUAUACCAAAGUAAGUAUAAGAGAAAAUUAAAGCAAAAACUUUUAGUAUUAUUCAAAGCAAACUAAAAGUUUUUAGCUUUUAGGCGUAGACUUGGAAACUAAUUAAAAUAAUUUUGAAAUGAGGGAUAGGAUUUUGAAGGGAAUGAGUUAGAAACAAGCACCAAUGGAAUCGUUGGGACUUAGUAAAUCUGUGAUUAUUACAAUAUUAUAAUUAUAUAAUUCAUAGGAAGAUAAGGGUAUUAAUUAAAAUUUAGUCCAUUUCUUUGGAAUCUCUAUAUAUGUUCUGAUCCUCCUACUCCAUCGUUUUACAAAUUGUUGAUCUUGGCCUCCCCAAGUUCGUAGUUUCUUGAUUCUGAUCCCGUUGAACCAAAAUCAUGGCUCCAUGCAUCGCUGCUUAUAUUAAUUAGGAUUCUUUCUGCCUUUUGCAGUAUAUUAAUUAGCAUCAAACCUUAUUCAACCAAUAAAAAUCAGGGUCUUUAUUCAUUAUAAGAUCCAAUAAUUAAACAGAUUUACUUAAUUAAUCAGGUGAGUUUGAAUCUUGAAAUAAGUAUAAUAAAAAGAAUUAAUUUAGACUUUCACUAUUCCUCUACUAUGUUAAAAAAAAUCUUAAAAUUGAUUGAAUGCAAUUCGUUUUCGCGUCAAACUCAACUUUGAUUUGCUUGCGGGACCCGUAGACUUCGAAAAGUCUCGUAAGGAUACAGCUAACAAUUGAUAGUGGUUUUACAGGUUUUAUGAAGAGCCGACACAAGAUUCAUAGACACGUUGGAAAAUUAUUGGGAAAUUUACACUUUGACCACCUUCCAACUUUUAAUAUAAGAAAAAACCACAUUCCAUAUUUUUGUUACAAUAGCAAUUAUUUACAAGGUUUUUAGACUAGAAUUUUCAAAAACAAAAAUCCUUCUAAUAGCUAUUUUGUUAACUCCAUUAUAAUAAAAGAUCUCCCUGUUCAACUGGUGUUUAAAGCUAGCUCUAUAUGUAUUGUUGAUCUUUCAUAUGUAAUGUAAGGAUCCAAAGAUCAAUCACAUAAUGAGUAUCCGCUACUUUGCCCGCUGCUUUCAGCUUCGGCGAAGCUCUCUGUGGAUUGGACCCACAUGUACAAAAUGAUAAUCGUCUCUAGUUAAUUAAAAAGUGGUUAGAUUGAUUUGAUAGAUAAAAUUAAUCAUAUUCAUCAUAACUUUGUUUAAUCUCUAUCUCAUAAUUAAUGGGUUCCUCAUAUAAAAUGUAUGGCUUGGUUGUGUCAUUACAAUUUUGUAUCCGAUCGCGCGUGUUUUUCUAUAGUAAUCUUGCUAUCGCUCUUUAAGGCACAUCGGCAGCCUCAUUAUUUCAUAUUUUUGUAAGAGGUAAUUAACUUAUAAUUCAAAAUAAAACAUAAAUUAUUAAUUUCAACGUCAAAUAUGGAGCUGUUCUUCAUCCAGAUUAAUAGCGAUUUUUGAUGGCCCUGGCAUUGGCCAGACACCAAAACCAUAUGCAUCCCAAAAUAAUUAGCUAAAAAGGGUAUCAAGAAAAGCCAUGAUAAGAGUAAAGUUGAUCUCAUGAUUGGGUUUAAUAGUAGUUGAAAUGAAACGAAGUGAAGGGAUGGAACUUGCAAGUUGCAAUGUGUAUGUAAUAUAGCAGAGUAAAGGUAGCCCAAGUUAAUUAAUUAGGAAGCAGCCGAAGAGGAAUGUGAUACAACUCUGCAACUCAGAGUUUAUAUCAUAGAUUUACACUGUUCGAGUAAGUGCUGGCUCCAACAAAAAAAGAAGCAAAAAGAAUUGAAAUUAAUGGAGAAACAGAGAUAGCAGGAGAGACGGAGAGAGAAGAAGAAAUAUUUGCCAUUCCAUUCCUUCGUAUGACGUGUUCCCCUCUACAUAUAUCUUUUACCCCUCAACAUUGCACGUGUAACUAACCAACAAAGUAAUGAUUCAAAGAAAAAACAGUCACAACAGAAUAACAAAAUCUUAGAUCUUUAAAUAAUAUAUACGGCCAGACUAAACAAUCAAAAUCUGUGAUUUGACCUUUAAUUACAGAAACAGAGAUAAUUUUUUAAGGGAAUGAGUUAGGAGCAAACACUAAACAAUCAAAAUCUGUGUACUGCUAUUUGAACAAAAUGCAAAACGGUGACAAAACAGUGAUAAAAACAUUAUCGUUUUGAUAGUGAUUUUGGUGAUCUCCUUUCUCUCCUUGUUAUUUUAUUUUAUUUUAUUUUUAAUAUGUACACAUAGAAACGAAUAUAUAUGUCCUGCUACGAAUUUUGAUGGACAAAAUAAUUUUGCAUGAAAAUAGUCAAUGAGUGAAAAUAAAAUUUAAGUCCAUUUCAGCUCUAUCAGUCGGUUAAGUUUUUGCACUGAUGCCAUGCAAAAGUUCAAACUAAUUAAUGUAGGCAAGACUUAAAAGGGUAAGAGGAUGAAAAAAAAGAGAUAAAAGAGGGAAUAUAUUAAGAGAGAGACGAAUAAUUAAUAAUUUAUUAUUAUAUGGAGAUCUAUUAUAUUAAUUUUUUAGUUUUUAAAACUUAAAAAAGGGGGUAAAAGCUCAUUUAGUCCCUAUACUUUGAGGUUAGUGUCCGUUUAGUCUCUAUAUUUUUAAAAAUACCUCAAAGCAUCACUAUCAUUAAAUUAUUGACAUUCUUAACAUUACCUUUUGUUCAUUUUGACUUAUUUUUACAAUAUUACCCUAUUACAAUAAUGUUCCUUUUUUAAAACAUUAUUAAAAAGAAAAAUUAAAUUACCAGUUUAACACCAAAAAAUGAAAUAAAAUAAAAACAAUA
rnacentral:lncRNA from 1 species